rnacentral:lncRNA from 1 species
CAAAACCUAAAACCCCAUCACUAAUCAGCUACUAAACCCUUAAACCUUUUAACACUCCAACAACAAUGGCUACCACCACCACUAAACUUCUUCAACUCCGCCCUAAACUCAAACCCUAUCCUCCCCUAAAGCCUUUCUCUUCAUCAUCUUCCUCAUCAAAUCUCGAAAAUACCCCUCCUCCUUCACAACCCAAUACAGAAAAUACUCCUACACCUACACCUACACCUACACCUACACCUUCACAUAAAACCUUUUCAUUUUCCUCUAUCGCCAAUAACCCCCAGAACGCAUCUUCCAAAUACUCCGCCACUCUCGAAGAACACCGUAAACACC